AGUUUGAUCCUGGCUCAGGAUGAACGCUGGCGGUCUGCUUAACACAUGCAAGUCGAACGGAGUGCUUCGGCACUUAGUGGCGGACGGGUGAGUAACGCGUGAGAAUCUGCCCUUAGGACGGGGACAACAGCUGGAAACGGCUGCUAAUACCCGAUGUGCCGAGAGGUGAAACAUUUUAUGGCCUGAGGAUGAGCUCGCGUCUGAUUAGCUAGUUGGUGGGGUAAGAGCCUACCAAGGCGACGAUCAGUAGCUGGUCUGAGAGGAUGAUCAGCCACACUGGGACUGAGACACGGCCCAGACUCCUACGGGAGGCAGCAGUGGGGAAUUUUCCGCAAUGGGCGCAAGCCUGACGGAGCAAGACCGCGUGCGGGAGGACGGCCUAUUGGUUGUAAACCGCUUUUGAUAGGGAAGAAGUACUGACGGUACCUAUCGAAUCAGCAUCGGCUAACUCCGUGCCAGCAGCCGCGGUAAUACGGAGGAUGCAAGCGUUAUCCGGAAUUAUUGGGCGUAAAGCGUCCGUAGGUGGUUGUUCAAGUCUGCUGUUAAAGCGUGCGGCUUAACCGCAUACCAGCAGUGGAAACUGGGCGACUAGAGUGCGGUAGGGGUCAGGGGAAUUCCCAGUGUAGCGGUGAAAUGCGUAGAUAUUGGGAAGAACACCGGUGGCGAAAGCGCCUGACUGGACCUGCACUGACACUGAGGGACGAAAGCUAGGGGAGCGAAAGGGAUUAGAUACCCCUGUAGUCCUAGCCGUAAACGAUGGACACUAGGUGUUGCCCGUAUCGACCCGGGCAGUGCCGUAGCCAACGCGUUAAGUGUCCCGCCUGGGGAGUACGCUCGCAAGAGUGAACUCAAAGGAAUUGACGGGGGCCCGCACAAGCGGUGGAGUAUGUGGUUUAAUUCGAUGCAACGCGAGAACCUUACCAGGGCUUGACAUGUCCAGAACCCUCUUGAAAGGAGGGGUGCCUUCGGGACUGGAGCACAG
rnacentral:rRNA from 1 species